UAUUUUCUUCAAUUAAAUUUAGUAGAACCAGCUGUCCAGACAGUAAUUUACUAUUCUAAAAGAAACUAUUUCACGAAAUUAGAUGUAGCCUACUGGUUAUUAAUUCAAAUCCCAAGCCUAGAUGUCGACAGUUUGAGCACUAGUUUAGCUACAUCAAUUAUUUUUCAUACCACCCAAGCAGGUGAUGACGUCAUGCAUGAUGUCACCUCUUUCCCCUUCUUCUCCAAUCAACUUCCUUUCCGGCCAACGCGUUCAGCCAGCUCGUCUUCGAUGAUGACGGAAUCAAUCCCAUCGAAUCAUGACCAAUUCAAUCCUUACCUUUUUCCCUUACGACCUUCCUCCCAAUCAUUCUUUAAGAGAACCAAAUAUCUUGAGACAUAGAAACGCUUUUCCGUAUAGGAGUUCCGACGACAAACGACGUUACCGAAAAUCGGCGGCGGCGACAACGAGUACAUCAUCAAAAUUCUGACAGUGGCACUCAAAUUGUUUUGUUAGGUAAUCGCUUGUUUUUAGACUUCCUUUGAAUCUAAUUCUAUUGAAAACUGAAGCUGAGAGCGUGUCCAUAUCCUUAUCAAUUUCCAGAAGCCUUUCUCCCAACAGUCAGGUCGUUGAUAAACUCUAGCGGCAACGAUGAAACCACCAAACCAAUCCUCCGUUCGAGGUAAGAGAUCCGAUCGUGCUCUUUAGUCUUGAACUCAGCUCCUUCAAUGCAAAUAAGCCUACUAUUGAUGUUUUUGGAAACGUCGAUUUUUCAGCCCCGGUUCCAUUCGCCGGCGUCGGCUGCUUCCCACCGUGCCAGGCCUCUACACUGUUUCGAACUGCAUAAAGGAAGCUGUUGAUUUUUAAAUAAGGUUCAUAAAGAGACGUUCAAGCUUUUCAGAUCAAAUUUUAACUCCCCUCGUGUUGGAAUCCCCUCGCGUUGGAAUCUCACCGUUCAAUUUAAAAGUGGGUUAAUUUAAAGGGGUAAAUUCUUUAUAAUCUUUUAAUUAGGUUACAUAUUAUGUUUUGCAUUGUAAUUUAAUUCUAAAUUGAAUUACAUUAUUAGUAGUUAUUUUAUAUUAUUAUCUUUAUGUCAAAGUGAUACGUCUUUUAGUUAUGACAAAGUUACACUAACGAUAAUGUUGAAACGUUAAGAUUUGGAUUAUGACAAGGAUAGAUGACGAGUGAGCAGUGAACAAGAACACCAUACAUAUAUGAUUAAUAAGUGGAUUAAAAGCAUGAACUCACAACCUAGACUUCGUCCAUAUGAAUUGAGCUAGUAUUGCCCACACGAUAUGUUGUCUGACGGAUACGUUCUCCCAGGAUAACUAGUGAACAACAAAAACUACUCUAAGUCUAGACGAUUAAUAAAUGAUCUAGUAAUACAUACCUCUCUUUCUAAACCUCAAAUCCAUGUUGGUAGCUUAUGGUCUUGGAUCAAUAGAGAUCCCUUACUUAUAAUUGGGCCACUAGGGAAAUUCACGACUUUCAUGAUAUGUUGUCUAACAGAUACGAUCUCCCAGACAUUCACGAUUUUCAAGAUUUGGCGGUAGGGAUAGUUAGUUGAGUUGGGCGACGCCCCGCAAGAAUUAAGAUAACUUAGAUAAGAUUAAGAAUAAGUACAAGAAUUAAUGUCAUGUAAUUAACGUUCACAAGCAUUGUAUUUAGGAUAUAAUAAGUUACAAAAAUCAUGAUACUCAUGAUCUCAUAAUACAUCUAACAUGAUUGGCUAGAGUUCCAUUGUAUAAUGAUUAAUUGCUUGUUAUGAUUACAUAUACAUGAGUGCUUAUCUGUGAUGUGAUUGUUUUGAAAGUUGAAAUGAUUGUUAUGAAAUUACAUGAAUUAUAUUCUAAUGUUUAUUUGGAAUUAUUUUUACGAUAUUAGCAUGAAAGAUUGACCCCGAACCACCCAUCAGGGUGUUUGAAAGUUAUUGCAAGAGCAGAGUAGAGUUGAUUCGGGAUAUGUGGCUAAUUGGAUUUGAGUUUUCAAAAAAGAUCAUUAAUGUUGAAUUUAUUGAUACUUGAUUUUCAAUGAUAUUUCAUAGUAGCAUUUAGAAAUUAAAUGUGUUAUUUUAUUUACUCUCUUUAUGAGUUUAUUUAUUUAUUAUAUUUUAAAGUACCUUGGCCGGGACACUUUGGUAAAUAGUCAAGAUAUUGGUAUAGACCGUAAAGGCCUCAUGUGAUUUUGAGUUUUCCAUUGCUUUAACGAAAUUUUAGUCAUUUAAUAAAUAUUAAAAGAUGAGGGUGUUAGAGCACAUGCCUAAAAACCCUUAAGCACAAUCACAUCCUUCAAAGUCAUAUCCGUGUUAAGGAGACUAGCAAGACGGUUGAUGCCCUCCUUCGAACGAAGAUCGAGAGCGAUCUGACAUAACUUGACGCAUACUAGAGCCAAGUCCGAAACAGAAGGGAGCGGUUGGAUACUCUCAACCAACGACGAAUGAUGACAGGGGCGUUCCCUAUAUGCCACGGGCCGCUAGAAAACACCCAAUUCGAAACCUCAAUCGAUGAAAAAUGAAGCAAGAAUAGCUCCUCUCCACCUGGAAGGGGCGAGACCGGAAAAAGCCCAUCAUGCCCCCACAAACGGUUGCCCAGGACAUGGAGGUCACACUCCUUCGGGGGAGAACUAGAAUUGAUCGAGCAACGAGACAUAGUCUGAGACGCCCGUGACUUGGAGCCAAAGCAGUUGUCGGGAUCUGGACGACACCGUACACAAACUGCGGCUCAACAUAGCUCAGUGAGAGCUCCAAUGGCACAUAAAAAAGGUCAACCUAGAUUUUCACAACCGACCCCAAAACGGAACACUCUCCAAGACUUUCGCUUUCAUACAUAUCUAUUAAUCAUAUUAAUAGCCGCAUUUUUCUAAUAAUGGAUUCGUGUAGGCUUGGCAUUGGGUAAGCCCAUGAUCAGGAUCCGUGGAUUUUGCCCGUUAAUUGGACUUCUUAAAACCGUUGCUGGAUAGUGAGCCGCCCAAAAUCCGCUGUAAUUUGUUUGUGAGUGGUGCCAGAUCCAGCAGUAUCUGCCCCGAAAUCCGACCGCCGGUUAAUCCGCUACGAAAACGACGUCGUUUUAUGGUAAGUAUGUAAACAUCAAUCCCACCUAACUCAAUCCCUAACGACUGCCGCUGAAUUUCCCCUAAUUUUCUCUAAUCCUAGAUGAGAGAAAACUCUUCGUCCCUUCAUUCACCUCUUCAAUCUUCAUUCCUUCAUCACACAUACAGAAACCCCUCCCCCCACCAAAGAAUUAUUGCAAUCUUUGAUCUUCCUCUCAUUACAUUCUUGUGAGAGAUCAGAGAGAGAGAGCAAAUAACAUCAUCAAUUCAUCAUCGAAGAAGGUAUGUCCGUUCGACCAUGUUGAAGGAAGAACCUACAAUAACAAAACCUAUCGUGUUUGCAUCGCCAAUGAAGAUCAAAUAUUUGUCAACCAUGUAUUCCUUCUUUUUCUUCUUUCCGUUCUUCUUCUUUUAAAAAAUCCUAGUUGAAUAUUAUUGAUGAUCAAGUUACUCUAUUUUUUGUGCUUUAAAUCAACCAAUUCAAAAAUUUUCUGUUAAUCAUUUCUUUUUGUUACAGGCGUUCCAAGCCUUAAUAAUGGACUGACUAAUUUCGUUGACAGAGUCCGCGCGUAAGUAUAUGAAUAGGAUACUCAUGUCUGAACUCUUAAGUACUAUUUUGAAUUUUUAUUAUAAUUUUUAAACAAUAUUUUGCAAUUGAAGUUUCAUGUUUGAAUUGAAUUGAAUUCUCUAUGAAGUUUUUUGUUAUAUUUAUAUAUUGUUUUUACACAGGUUUUAAUUUGGGAAGUCGGUAGCUGGAUAUCUAUGGGGAUCCGAUAGCUGUAACCGGACGAUGUUAGUUUGAAUCUCAACCCCGAUUAAGGUUAACGGGUGGCGACAGGAAAAUUGGAAAUCACGCAGAUGGAGAUUGAAUACACUCUACUCGCCCCCAAUCUGCCCCGACGCCAACUCUAAAUUUGUGUCUUAAUUUUGGAGAAACUCUCAUAAGCAAUAACGACAUAAUAUAAUAUCAUUUGAUUAAUUAACAUAGCUACAGGACACAGUGGUCCAUGUCGAAUAGUUUAGAUGCAAUAUGUGUAAGCAAUCAUAAGUAGGCAGCUCAUUCCUCUGUCCCUCUCACUCCUAACUCUCAUAAAAUGGGAGAGAAUCAAUUUUUGUUACAACCACUGGAUAGUGAUGUGAGUUAUUAUAAUCCAUUUUUCCCAUCGUUUUGUGUUUUAUCACCCAUUCAUUAUUCAAUUCAAUGUGGAUGAUAUUAUGUCCACAAGACGACAAUACAAAUCAGGUCAUACAGUAGUUAUAAUCCAACAACUCAAUGAGUGCAACCGAGUUAAA
rnacentral:lncRNA from 1 species